rnacentral:tRNA from 1 species
UCUCUGGUGGUCCAGUGGCUAAGACUCCGUGCUCCCAAUGCAGGGGCCUUGGGUUCAAAUCCUGACCAGGGAA